ensembl:lncRNA
AGGUAGGAGAGCUGCAAAGCAAGCAUGUGGUUUCCACUUUUCACUCUCCCCUCAGCAGCAGUCCGAUGAGUCCUUGCAGAGACACAUGAGUUGUAUGUCUGCUUGAGCGUGUGUGUGCACAUAUGCAGAAGGCGACCGUGCCUCACCGCUAACGCCAUGGAGCUUGAGGCGGGACAGUUUUAAUGUGGAAAAGAGCUGAGCAGACAAAAGAAUAGGCCUGUCACCUGACUAAUGCCCACCAGUGGAAGAUGUAAUCCGGAGUAAAUACAGUUGGCUCCACGGAGGAGCCCUCUGUGAUUUCAGCAGACCGAGGUGUCAAACUGAAUCACCGGUCGUACGCGGCUGAAGAGUACAGAUUAUCCGCCGCUCUCUGAUGAGCCAGUCAGGAGUCUUGCACUUGGUGCGUCUCUGGCUGCGCUGUGGAAAACUGGCUGUAGAUAGAAUUUUUUCGGGGAGCAUCCACUCUUUUUGGCAUUUCCUGAUUUGAUCAAAACGUCCAGACUGCGGAAUGUGAAAGUUUCACACGAGGGCCAAACCAUUAGCAUCAAUCCUCUGCAUCAAUUGAAGCGUCACAGUCUCUGCGACGAUUCGGCUGUUAUAACGCUUUGCAGCUCUUCGAGCUUCUAAUCAGAGACGUGCUGUUAAUGAACCGUCUCCUGUCAAGAGUCUUCCAUUGUCACAAACGAUCCUCAUCUUGCUGCGCUUAUUGUAUCUCUCCACGUCCGAAUCUUCUCUUUCUCUCUUUCGUGUUACAUGCUAAAUACCUCCACCCUGUCGUUCUCAGACCACCUGGUCCCCUGUCGGCACAUUUGUUUGGCUGUCUUCCUGGUUUAUGUCUGCCUUGCACGUCUACAUUUCUGUUGUCUUUGGCUUGAGUGUGAGAGGAAGAGAGACAAAAUGGGAUUAAAAUGAGUGUGGAUGUGUGUGUGUGUGUGUGUGUGUGUGUUUGCCUUAGGCGCCCUCACUAGAAAUUCCACCUGCUCGGGUGAUACUUUUACACUUGGGAGAUUUGACAAAGUCACCUGUCUACUUCUUUCGGUGUCAUCUGUCUGCCUCCCUUUCACCUUUUUACAUCUAUAUCCCGUGAACGUCUUCUUUCUAUCACUCACUGUCCGUCCUUCCCCCUGUCCGUCCAUCUUGUCUUCCUUAGUCUGUGACUUUUCCUUUUUUUAAUCUUUCUUGAUCCGCGCCUGACCCCCCCUACACACACACACACACACACACACACACACACACACACACACACAAACACACCUCCAUUAUUAUUCCCGAGAGGAGUCGACUGGUCUGGCACUCUGGCUGGUUUAUGUCCAUGGACUCGGUGACACGCUGCCUCUGCGUUAC